UACGGAGGGUGCAAGCGUUAUCCGGAUUCACUGGGUUUAAAGGGUGCGUAGGCGGUCGGGUAAGUCUGUCGUGAAAUCUCCGAGCCCAACUCGGAAACUGCGUCGGAUACUAUUCGGCUAGAGGAAUGGAGGGGAGACUGGAAUUCUCGGUGUAGCAGUGAAAUGCGUAGAUAUCGAGAGGAACACCAGUGGCGAAGGCGAGUCUCUGGACAUUUCCUGACGCUGAGGCACGAAAGCCAGGGGAGCAAACGGG
rnacentral:rRNA from 1 species